UUUAACUCAGGUAUUUUAUCUCUCAUAGAGAGAUGUUAUGCUGCUCUUAAGCCAAAACCUGACCACAGCUGAAAAACAGCAACUCUGCAGGCAGCAGGCUAGUCAAGUGAAGCAAUGGGAAUGGAGAAGGAACAAAUAAAUCUGUAACUGGUGAUAAUCAAGCAAUUGUAAACACUACUGCACUUGCACCAGCCUUGUUCUCUGUUUUUGUCACAGUCGAUAUGGCUGAGGCUGGAGUGCAGUGGUCUAAGGAAAAAGGACGUGCUGUGGUCAAGAAUAGGCCAAGGCAGAACCAGUACAGCGUGACUCAGUAAGUUUGGAGCACAGGCGCAAAAUCCACUUGUUAUGUAACCACACCAUGUGAGGUGCAUUAUGUGAUUACCCACGAAAGUUUGUGCUUGGCUUGGAGACCCUAUUGUCUGUAAAAGGCAUAACUACCCUUCUGACACUGUACAUAUGACUCACUCACACUUAGAGGAAGAGUAAAGCCAUAUCAAACUGUCUACACUUACUCAAGUGCUUUCCCAGCUACCCAUCACCCUUCAGAUGUCAAUUUGGGCUAGAACCUGACAUCCAAACAGGAUCCUGGGGUGAGUCAGCCUUUGGUCCCCGCUGAUUUUGAGUCUGCCGUGUGGCUGCAGCAUGGGCUGUGGUACCCG
rnacentral:lncRNA from 1 species